rnacentral:rRNA from 1 species
ACCCGCUGAACUUAAGCAUAUCAAUAAGCGGAGGAAAAGAAACCAACAGGGAUUGCCUCAGUAACGGCGAGUGAAGCGGCAACAGCUCAAAUUUUAAAGCUGGCGUCCUCGACGCCCGCGUUGUAAUUUGGAGAGGCAUCUUCGGUUUGGGCGCCAGCCUAUGUUCCUUGGAACAGGACGUCACAGAGGGUGAGAAUCCCGUGCUUGGCUGGCUGUCCCUCUCCAUGUGAAGUGUCUUCGACGAGUCGAGUUGUUUGGGAAUGCAGCUCAAAAUGGGUGGUAAAUUUCAUCUAAAGCUAAAUAUUGGCGGGAGACCGAUAGCGCACAAGUAGAGUGAUCGAAAGAUGAAAAGCACUUUGAAAGUAGAGUUAAAAAGUACGUGAAAUUGUUGAAAGGGAAGCGCUUGAGACCAGACUCGGCCGGAGACGAUCAGCGGUCCUUCUGGGCCGUGCACUCGUCCUCGGUUGGGCCAGCAUCGGUUGAGACGGUGGGAUAAAGGUCCGGGGAAUGUGGCUCCUUUCGGGGAGUGUUAUAGCCCCGGGCGCAAUGCCGCCAGUCUCGACCGAGGACCGCGCUCUUUUGCUAGGAUGCUGGCGUAAUGGUCUUCAGCGACCCGUCUUGAAACACGG